rnacentral:rRNA from 1 species
UACGUAGGGUGCAAGCGUUAAUCGGAAUUACUGGGCGUAAAGCGUGCGCAGGCGGUUUUGUAAGUCUGUCGUGAAAGCCCCGGGCUCAACCUGGGAAUUGCAUUGGAGACUGCAAGGCUAGAAUCUGGCAGAGGGGGGUAGAAUUCCACGUGUAGCAGUGAAAUGCGUAGAGAUGUGGAGGAACACCGAUUGCGAAGGCAGCCCCCUGGGUCAAGAUUGACGCUCAUGCACGAAAGCGUGGGGAGCAAACAGG